rnacentral:rRNA from 1 species
AUUGAACGCUGGUGGCAUGCUUUACACAUGCAAGUCGAACGGCAGCGAGAGAGAAGCUUGCUUCUCUUGUCGGCGAGUGGCGAACGGGUGAGUAAUACAUCGGAACGUACCCUGUAGCGGGGGAUAACUACUCGAAAGAGUGGCUAAUACCGCAUACAACCUGAGGGUAAAAGUGGGGGACCGCAAGGCCUCACGCUAUAGGAGCGGCCGAUGGAAGAUUAGCUAGUUGGUAGGGUAAAGGCCUACCAAGGCGACGAUCUUUAGCGGGUCUGGGAGGACGAUCCGCCACACUGGGACUGAGACACGGCCCAGACUCCUACGGGAGGCAGCAGUGGGGAAUUUUGGACAAUGGGCGAAAGCCUGAUCCAGCAAUGCCGCGUGAGUGAAGAAGGCCUUCGGGUUGUAAAGCCCUUUUGUUUGGGAAGAAAUCCUAAAGGCUAAUAUCCUUUGGGGAUGACGGUACCAAAAGAAUAAGCACCGGCUAACUACGUGCCAGCAGCCGCCGUAAGAC